rnacentral:rRNA from 1 species
AUACAGAGGGUGCAAGCGUUAAUCGGAAUUACGGGGCGUAAAGCGCGCGUAGGUGGUUAGUUAAGUUGGAUGUGAAAGCCCUGGGCUCAACCUGGGAAUGGCAUUCAAAACUGGCUGACUAGAGUAUGGUAGAGGGAAGGGGAAUUCCAGGUGUAGCGGUGAAAUGCGUAGAUAUCUGGAGGAACAUCAGUGGCGAAGGCGCCUUCCUGGACUAAUACUGACACUGAGGUGCGAAAGCGUGGGUAGCAAACAGGAUUAGAAACCCCAGUAGUCC